UCGAGAAUUUUUCUCAAUGGGCGAAAGCCUGAAGGAGCGACGCCGCGUGGGGGAUGAAUGGCUUCGGCCCGUAAACCCCUGUCAUUUGCGAACAAAUUGAUUCACCUAACACGUGAAGCAUUGAUUGUAGCAGAAGAGGAAGGGACGGCUAACUCUGUGCCAGCAGCCGCGGUAAUACAGAGGUCCCAAGCGUUGUUCGGAUUCACUGGGCGUAAAGGGUGCGUAGGCGGUCGGGUAAGUCUGUUGUGAAAUCUCCGAGCUUAACUCGGAAACUGCAGUGGAUACUAUCCGGCUCGAGGAAUGGAGGGGAGACUGGAAUACUUGGUGUAGCAGUGAAAUGCGUAGAUAUCAAGUGGAACACCAGUGGCGAAGGCGAGUCUCUGGACAUUUCCUGACGCUGAGGCACGAAAGCCAGGGGAGCAAACGGG
rnacentral:rRNA from 1 species